rnacentral:rRNA from 1 species
CAAUAGCGUAUAUUAAAGCUGUUGCGGUUAAAAAGCUCGUAGUUGGAUUUCUGUCAAGUACAACUGGUCCGCCCUCCGGGUGAGCACAUAGUUUGGUCUUGGCAUCUUGCUGGAAAUUGUUGCUGCACUUGGCUGUGUGGCGCAGUGUCCAGCACUUCACUUUGAGGAAAUUGGAGUGUUUCAAGCAGGCAAUGCCUUUGAACACAGUAGCAUGGAAUAAUUAGAUUGGGCUUUUGCUCCAAUUUGUCGGUUUCUGGAGCUGAGGUGAGAAUUAAUGGGGAUUGUUGGGGGCAUCCGAAUUUAGCCGUCAGAGGUGAAAUUCUUGGAUCGGCUAAAGACGGACAACUGCGAAAGCGUUUGCCCAGGAUGUUUUCAUUGA